ensembl:miRNA
UCCAGGUCUGGGGCAUGAACCUGGCAUACAAUGUAGAUUUCUGUGUUUGUUUGGCAACAGCUACAUUGUCUGCUGGGUUUCAGGCUACCUGGAA